rnacentral:rRNA from 1 species
AGUGAACGCUGGCGGUAGGCCUAACACAUGCAAGUCGAACGGCAGCACAGUAAGAGCUUGCUCUUACGGGUGGCGAGUGGCGGACGGGUGAGGAAUACAUCGGAAUCUACUUUUUCGUGGGGGAUAACGUAGGGAAACUUACGCUGAUACCGCAAACGACCUACGGGUGAAAGCAGGGGAUCUUCGGACCUUGCGCGAUUGAAUGAGCCGAUGUCGGAUUAGCUAGUUGGCGGGGUAAAGGCCCACCAAGGCGACGAUCCGUAGCUGGUCUGAGAGGAUGAUCAGCCACACUGGAACUGAGACACGGUCCAGACUCCUACGGGAGGCAGCAGUGGGGAAUAUUGGACAAUGGGCGCAAGCCUGAUCCAGCCAUACCGCGUGGGUGAAGAAGGCCUUCGGGUUGUAAAGCCCUUUUGUUGGGAAAGAAAAGCAGCAGGUUAAUACCCCGCUGUUCUGACGGUACCCAAAGAAUAAGCACCGGCUAACUUCGUG